CCUCCCUGUGACUCCUUCCAAUGCAGGCAGACUAGGUCUGAAGACGCAGGAGGGGUCCCACAGGACUAGCGAAGAGGGUCUUCACUUCACCUAGGAUGGAAAUCAAAUGUGAGCCAGUAGGAAGUGAAAGCAGAGUUACUGAAGGUACAUAGAAAUAGACAGAUGGACGGAGCAUCCAAGAGACUAUGAAAGACAGAGAGCACGAGUCUCAUCUCUGUUUGGGGCCUGGGGCUUUGAUUGACGAUUGUGAUCCGGUGCACGCAUCCUCUUAGGCAUCCAGAAACUGGUCAGACCAAUGACAGGGGCCAAGUGUCCUUCAGAAGUCACUUAUUUCUUGGAACCAGGGGUCCUGGCAUCAAGGUAACUUUGUACUGUCCUCGCAUUCUGACUUCAGGCUCAAUCCUGUGAUCUGCCUUGGCUGCUAGAGUAUUAGCAGCCAUAAAGCAAUCAGAGGCUUGAAAAGCACUUCUGUGUUUCUGCUUGCUAUUCUUGCCCUCUGUGAUCACCGUGACGUGCAAAACUAGCCUGCUAGUGGAUGAAAGACACGUGGAGUGCAGCCAGUCGCCCCAGUCACCCCAGAUGAGGCCAUCCGGGAUUGGCCAGUCAAUACCCAGAGAAGUGAUCAAGUCUAGCAAACAUCAUCAGUAGAACUGCCUCAGGAACAUCAGUAUGAUUCCAGACAUAUGAGCAAUAAAUAUUUCAGGCUACUGAG